rnacentral:rRNA from 1 species
UUUGCUGACGAGUGGCGGACGGGUGAGUAAUGUCUGGGAAACUGCCUGAUGGAGGGGGAUAACUACUGGAAACGGUAGCUAAUACCGCAUAACGUCGCAAGACCAAAGAGGGGGACCUUCGGGCCUCUUGCCAUCGGAUGUGCCCAGAUGGGAUUAGCUAGUAGGUGGGGUAACGGCUCACCUAGGCGACGAUCCCUAGCUGGUCUGAGAGGAUGACCAGCCACACUGGAACUGAGACACGGUCCAGACUCCUACGGGAGGCAGCAGUGGGGAAUAUUGCACAAUGGGCGCAAGCCUGAUGCAGCCAUGCCGCGUGUAUGAAGAAGGCCUUCGGGUUGUAAAGUACUUUCAGCGGGGAGGAAGGGAGUAAAGUUAAUACCUUUGCUCAUUGACGUUACCCGCAGAAGAAGCACCGGCUAACUCCGUGCCAGCAGCCGCGGUAAUACGGAGGGUGCAAGCGUUAAUCGGAAUUACUGGGCGUAAAGCGCACGCAGGCGGUUUGUUAAGUCAGAUGUGAAAUCCCCGGGCUCAACCUGGGAACUGCAUCUGAUACUGGCAAGCUUGAGUCUCGUAGAGGGGGGUAGAAUUCCAGGUGUAGCGGUGAAAUGCGUAGAGAUCUGGAGGAAUACCGGUGGCGAAGGCGGCCCCCUGGACGAAGACUGACGCUCAGGUGCGAAAGCGUGGGGAGCAAACAGGAUUAGAUACCUGGUAGUCCACGCCGUAAACGAUGUCGACUUGGAGGUUGUGCCCUUGAGGCGUGGCUUC